rnacentral:rRNA from 1 species
UACGUAGGGGGCAAGCGUUGUCCGGAUUUAUUGGGUUUAAAGGGUGCGUAGGUGGGUCUGUAAGUCAGUGGUGAAAUCUCCGAGCUUAACUCGGAAACUGCCAUUGAUACUAAUAGAUCUUGAAUUAUCUGGAGGUGAGCGGAAUAUGUCAUGUAGCGGUGAAAUGCUUAGAUAUCGGAAGGAACACCUGUGGCGAAAGCGGCUCACUGGACCAUUACUGACGCUGAGGCACGGAAAG